rnacentral:tRNA from 1 species
GGGUGUAUAGCUCAAUGGUAGAGCAAGGAGCUUUUAACUCUUUGGUUGGAAGUUCGAAUCUUCCUGGACCCA